UUUUCUAACCAGUGCCAAAGAGAACUAUACCCCCAGAAGCCAAGAGCAGGAGGUCAGAGGGAAACUGAGACGAACCCAGUGGGCCUGAGAUUGAGACCUACCCUCAUCUGGAUGGAAAGAUCGAAUGGAAAACACCCCAAGUGAAUAUUGUGUCAGAGCUGAUGAAAGCAGAGACGUUCCCAACCUUCCGAAAACACAGGAGUUGUGCUAGGAUUUCAUCAGCACAAGUGAACUAUGGGAAGAAAGGUCACCUUUGGUUUCAUUCUGACUCAAGGCAGUUCUUGGAGCAAGCUGGACAGAAAUAAGGUAAUGGCCAGAUAAAUUACAGACUGAGGUAGUAAAACCUUGAAGGCCUCGUUCCAGUCCCUAGUUUCCGAUGGAAUGAUCCCCUACCUCACGCCAUCGGUAAAAAGUGGUCUUGGAGCGAAAAGCCUGACUUUCUGUUCAGUUCCACGAGUACGGCGGGUGGAUUUUGACCUUCCUUUAAGUAUUAGGCUUCUACAUGGCAGCUGCACGCACCUGCACAAUGAAAGGAACCCAAGCCCAAUGGCCACUGUAACAGCUAAAUUACAAAAGUAAACUUCGGACUAAAAUAAUACUAAAACUUAUGGGUGUUCAUUAAUAGUUCAACCUUUGCCUGAGGAGUCAUCAGGCUUUGUCACUUGCCUGCGGUCAGUUCUGGUCUAACAUGGGUUUUCACCACGUGAUUUGGAUAGAAUGCUACUGAAGAAUCAGAGAACCAUCUUCCCACCCUUGCCAGGCUAUCCAGGUUGAACACGACCCACAGACAGGAACAGCUGAGUGCACGUGUGAGAACGACUGUGUGAUUUUCCAUCACGUGUGGUACUUCGGGAACCGAGCUACUACUGUAUUAAAGCAGAAC